rnacentral:rRNA from 1 species
GAGCGGCGAACGGGUGAGUAACACGUGGGUGAUCUGCCUCGUACUUCGGGAUAAGCCUGGGAAACUGGGUCUAAUACCGGAUAUGACCACGGGAUGCAUGUCUUGUGGUGGAAAGAUUUAUCGGUACGAGAUGGGCCCGCGGCCUAUCAGCUUGUUGGUGGGGUAAUGGCCUACCAAGGCGACGACGGGUAGCCGACCUGAGAGGGUGACCGGCCACACUGGGACUGAGACACGGCCCAGACUCCUACGGGAGGCAGCAGUGGGGAAUAUUGCACAAUGGGCGGAAGCCUGAUGCAGCGACGCCGCGUGCGGGAUGACGGCCUUCGGGUUGUAAACCGCUUUCGANAGGGACGAAGGGAAACUGACGGUACCUGUAGAAGAAGCACCGGCCAACUACGUGCCAGCAGCCGCGGUAAUACGUAGGGUGCGAGCGUUGUCCGGAAUUACUGGGCGUAAAGAGCUUGUAGGCGGUUCGUCGCGUCGAUUGUGAAAACUUGGGGCUCAACCCCAAGCUUGCAGUCGAUACGGGCGGGCUAGAGUACUGCAGGGGAGACUGGAAUUCCU